AUCGAACGCUGGCGGCAGGCUUAACACAUGCAAGUCGAGCGGAUGAAGGGAGCUUGCUCCUGGAUUCAGCGGCGGACGGGGGAGUAAUGCCCAGGAAUCUGCCUGGCAGUGGUGGGUAACGUCCGGAAACGGGCGCUAAUACCGCAUGCGUCCUGAGGGAGAAACUGGGGGAUCUUCGGACCUUACGCUAUCAGAUGAGUCUAGGUCGGACUAGCUAGUUGGUGGGGUAAAGGGCUACUAAGGCGACGAUCGGCAACUGGUCUGAGAGGAUGAUAAGUCACCUUGGAACGGAGACACGGUCCAGACGCCUGCGGGAGGCAGCAGUGGGGAAUAUUGGGCAAUGGGCGAGAGCAUGAUACAGCCAUGCGGCGUGUGUGAAGAAGGUGCUCGGAUUGUGAAGCACUUUAAGUUGGGGGGAAGGGCAGUAAGUUGAUACGUUGCUGUUUUGACGGUACCGGCAGAAUAAGCACCGGCUAACUUCGUG
rnacentral:rRNA from 1 species